CAGCAGCCGCGGGAAUGCAGAGGAUGCAAGCGUUAAUCGGAAUUACUGGGCGUAAAGGGCUCGCAGGCGGUUUCUUAAGUCUGAUGUGAAAGCCCCCGGCUCAACCGGGGAGGGUCAUUGGAAACUGGGAAACUUGAGUGCAGAAGAGGAGAGUGGAAUUCCACGUGUAGCGGUGAAAUGCGUAGAGAUGUGGAGGAACACCAGUGGCGAAGGCGACUCUCUGGUCUGUAACUGACGCUGAGGAGCGAAAGCGUGGGGAGCGAACAGGAUUAGAUACCCCUGUAGUCCCUGUCUCUUAUAC
rnacentral:rRNA from 1 species